rnacentral:rRNA from 1 species
CUAAUACAUGCAAGUCGAGCGAAUCAAUAGGAGCUUGCUCCUGUUGGUUAGCGGCGGACGGGUGAGUAACACGUGGGCAACCUGCCUGUAAGACUGGGAUAACACCGGGAAACCGGUGCUAAUACCGGAUAAUCCUUUUCCUCUCAUGAGGAAAAGCUGAAAGUCGGUUUCGGCUGACACUUACAGAUGGGCCCGCGGCGCAUUAGCUAGUUGGUGAGGUAACGGCUCACCAAGGCGACGAUGCGUAGCCGACCUGAGAGGGUGAUCGGCCACACUGGGACUGAGACACGGCCCAACUCCUACGGGAGGCAGCAGUAGGGAAUCUUCCACAAUGGACGAAAGUCCGAUGGAGCAACGCCGCGUGAGCGAUGAAGGCCUUCGGGUCGUAAAGCUCUGUUGUUAGGGAAGAACAAGUACCGGAGUAACUGCCGGUACCUUGACGGUACCUAACCAGAAAGCCACGGCUAACUACGUGCCAGCAGCCGCGGUAAUACGUAGGUGGCAAGCGUUGUCCGGAAUUAUUGGGCGUAAAGCGCGCGCAGGCGGUCCUUUAAGUUGAUGUGAAAGCCCACGGC